GGCUGAAGAAGAGGACACUAUGAACAAGUCUGAGAGGCAAGAAGAAAGCCAAGAGAGUGGAGUCAUGGAAUCCACGGGAGGAGAAGAUAUCCAAGAUCUAACAUGGGUAAAAUGUUUUUGCAACGGAGAGAAGCAUCGUGAAAGCCAGGGUCAACCACAAGACCGAUAUGGCGGUCAGACCCUGAGACUCUUACAGAAGACAAAGAGUGGCCACGUUUUGUAUGCUCAUCCCCCUACGCACCAGUGGUGCCCAUCCUGAGCACAUUUCUGCACCCAUCCCCACACCUGGCCUCCUGUCUUCAGCAACCAAGUGUGACAUCUUUUCAGGUUUUCCCUCUCCCACUCCAUCUUAGAGCUCGGAUAUCUUUUGACUUCUAUUUUCACUGUGAAGUGGGAGCUGAAUUAGCUUACUGAGAGAGACGGAAGAUGGAGUAUAAUACGGAAUUUGAGAAGAUUUAAAAUACCAAUUUUAUGACCUAGGGGAAAGGCAGGUAGAGGUAACAAGCAAUGGCAAAGGCCUUGAAAGAGGGAUUUGCUGGCUUGCUGGAGGAAGAGUAAGGAGGCCAGAGUGGCCAGAGGGUGAUGAGGGAGGUGAAAGGUGGGGUCACAGAGGGAGCUGGGGGUCCGAUCCUGUGGGAGGGAUCGCAGUGGUCCAGGGCAGGGAAGCUUAGGGUGGUAAAGGGGGAGGUGGUAAGGGGAAGUCAGAUGCAGGUUAUAUCUCGUCCCAAAUGAUUUGUAGAUGGAUUGGAUGUGAGUUCUGAGACAGGGCCAGGAUGGUGCUGAGAAUUUUAGCCUGAGUAGCUAAUUGAAUGGUGGUGCCAUUACCGAGAUGGGGAAAGGUUAAUGAAGCAGACGAAUCUCUGGCAAGACUGAUGGGGAAAAAGAGAGAAGAUGCACACAUGCAUAAUAUGAAGUUAAAUGAGAGAUACUACAGAUGAAGUAGAUUUUUAAAAUGAUAGAAGAAAAUUUUAAGCAACUAUAAGUCAAUAUAUUAGUAAACUAAGGUAAAAAUGGAAAAUGUUUGGAAGAGAAUAUCAAGAUGUAAAUUUAAGUAUGACAAAAUCAAUAGCUACUUUAAAAAUUGAAAUAAUUUCCAUUAUUGCCUUACCU
rnacentral:lncRNA from 1 species